AGCGAACGUUAGCGGCGGGCCUAACACAUGCAAGUCGAACGCGAAAGGUCUUCGGACUGAGUAGAGUGGCGCACGGGUGAGUAACACGUAGGUAAUCUACCCUUUGGCGGGGGAUAACGUUCCGAAAGGAGCGCUAAUACCGCAUAAGACCACGGAGUUUCCGGACGCUGUGGGAAAAGGUGGCCUCUUCUUGAAAGCUACCACCGAAGGAUGAGCCUGCGUCCCAUCAGCUAGUUGGUAAGGUAAUGGCUUACCAAGGCGAAGACGGGUAGCUGGUUUGAGAGAAUGAUCAGCCACACUGGCACUGGAACACAGGCCAAGACUCCGUACGGGAGCAGC
rnacentral:rRNA from 1 species